rnacentral:rRNA from 1 species
CGCAUCUGUGCAUGCAGCAUAUCAAUAAGCGGAGGAAAAGAAACUAACAAGGAUUCCCUUAGUAACGGCGAGUGAAGCGGGAAGAGCUCAAAUUUGAAAUCUUCAAGGUUUUACCUUGACGAAUUGUAGUUUAAAGAAGUGUUUUCUGUUGAAGUUUUGGUAAAAGUUCUUUGGAAUAGGACAUCAUAGAGGGUGAGAAUCCCGUAUUUGACCAUUAUUUACAGCUGUGUGAUACACUUUCAAAGAGUCGGAUUGUUUGGGAAUGCAGUCCAAAAUGGGUGGUAAAUUUCAUCUAAAGCUAAAUAUUGGCGAGAGACCGAUAGCGAACAAGUACCGUGAGGGAAAGAUGAAAAGAACUUUGAAAAGAGAGUUAAACAGCACGUGAAAUUGUCAAAAGGGAAGCGUUUGACACCAGUGUUGUUUUCUCGAAAAUCAAUUAAAAAGAGUUUGAUUUUGUUGUGUAUUGACCAUUAACAGCUUGCAUUUCAAUUUUCUUGCUUUUUUUAAUGCACUUUUCGUUUAACAAGUCAACAUCAGUUUCUUUUGUUGUAAAAAGGUCAUCGGAAGGUGGCUUUCUUUUCGGAGAAAGUGUUUAUAGCCUUUGACUCCUGCAAUCGGAGAGACUGAGGUCUGCAGCGUAGAUCCUUCGGGGUUAGAUACAUUUGUGCUAAGUUAUAGCUUUUUAUAGACAACUUGUUGACUAUGAUUAGUCUUGUAGCUUACUCGCUUAUGCUAUUUUACCUACGCUUAGGAUGUUGAACUCUAUCACACACA